GGGCGACUAAUAGUUUUACAGAAUUUUGUUUUAAAUUUUUAAGGGAUUUUUAUUGGAUUAUUAGGUAGAAUUUUAAUUUAAUAGAAAAACAUUUUUUUUUAAAUCAAGUUAAUUAUAUUAUGGACCAGGAUUAGAUACCCUGUUACUUAUAAUCAAAAUAUUUUGGAAUAGUAAUAAUAAUGAAAUUUAACGGAUUUGGCGGCAAGAUAGCCAUUCAGAGGAACCUGCCCUAUAAACGAUGAACCACGAAUUACUCUACUUUUUUUUGUUUUCAGUUUGUAUACCGCUGUUGUCAGUCAGUUUCUUUAGAAAACUUUCUUUCAUGUAAAGUUCACGGACUUCAAGUAAAGGUGCAGCUUAUAAAAAAGUUAGAGGUGGGUUACAUUUACAAGAUUAAUACGGAUAAAGUAAUUGAAAUAACUUUUGAAGGCGGAUUUGAUUGUAAAGUUUAAGUAAACUUGAUUCGAGCUCUAUCUUGUGUACACACCGCCCGUCGCUCUCUUUU
rnacentral:rRNA from 1 species